UGAGUGGCGGACGGGUGAGUAACGCGUGGGCAACCUGCCCCAUACAGGGGGAUAACAGUUAGAAAUGACUGCUAACACCGCAUAAGCGCACAGGGCCGCAUGACCCGGUGUGAAAAACUCCGGUGGUAUGGGAUGGGCCCGCGUCUGAUUAGCCAGUUGGCGGGGUAACGGCCCACCAAAGCGACGAUCAGUAGCCGACCUGAGAGGGUGACCGGCCACAUUGGGACUGAGACACGGCCCAAACUCCUACGGGAGGCAGCAGUGGGGAAUAUUGCACAAUGGGGGGAACCCUGAUGCAGCGACGCCGCGUGAGCGAAGAAGUAUCUCGGUAUGUAAAGCUCUAUCAGCAGGGAAGAAAAAUGACGGUACCUGACUAAGAAGCCCCGGCUAACUACGUGCCAGCAGCCGCGGUAAUACGUAGGGGGCAAGCGUUAUCCGGAUUUACUGGGUGUAAAGGGAGCGCAGGCGGCGCGGCAAGUCUGAUGUGAAAGCCCGGGGCUCAACCCCGGGACUGCAUUGGAAACUGUCGCGCUCGAGUGUCGGAGAGGUAAGUGGAAUUCCUAGUGUAGCGGUGAAAUGCGUAGAUAUUAGGAGGAACACCAGUGGCGAAGGCGGCUUACUGGACGACAACUGACG
rnacentral:rRNA from 1 species